rnacentral:hammerhead_ribozyme from 1 species
GCACUGCUGAAGAGUCCCAUACUAAGACGAAACGGCCGUUCAGUGC